rnacentral:rRNA from 1 species
AGCAGUCGCCGCGGUAAUACGAAGGGGGCUAGCGUUGUUCGGAUUUACUGGGCGUAAAGCGCACGUAGGCGGAUUUUUAAGUCAGGGGUGAAAUCCCGGGGCUCAACCCCGGAACUGCCUUUGAUACUGGAAGUCUUGAGUAUGGUAGAGGUGAGUGGAAUUCCGAGUGUAGAGGUGAAAUUCGUAGAUAUUCGGAGGAACACCAGUGGCGAAGGCGGCUCACUGGACCAUUACUGACGCUGAGGUGCGAAAGCGUGGGGAGCAAACAGGAUUAGAUACCCCUGUAGUCCCUGUCUCUUAUAA